rnacentral:rRNA from 1 species
AUUGAACGCUGGCGGCAGGCCUAACACAUGCAAGUCGAACGGUAGCACAGAGAGCUUGCUCUUGGGUGACGAGUGGCGGACGGGUGAGUAAUGUCUGGGAAACUGCCCGAUGGAGGGGGAUAACUACUGGAAACGGUAGCUAAUACCGCAUAACGUCUUCGGACCAAAGUGGGGGACCUUCGGGCCUCACACCAUCGGAUGUGCCCAGAUGGGAUUAGCUAGUAGGUGGGGUAAAGGCUCACCUAGGCGACGAUCCCUAGCUGGUCUGAGAGGAUGACCAGCCACACUGGAACUGAGACACGGUCCAGACUCCUACGGGAGGCAGCAGUGGGGAAUAUUGCACAAUGGGCGCAAGCCUGAUGCAGCCAUGCCGCGUGUAUGAAGAAGGCCUUCGGGUUGUAAAGUACUUUCAGCGGGGAGGAAGGCGUUAAGGUUAAUAACCUUGGCGAUUGACGUUACCCGCAGAAGAAGCACCGGCUAACUCCGUGCCAGCAGCCGCAGUAA